rnacentral:sRNA from 1 species
CACCGCCUGGGGAGUACGACCGCAAGGUUAAAACUCAAAUGAAUUGACGGGGACCCGCACAAGUAGUGGAGCAUGUGGUUUAAUUCGAAGAUACGCGCAGAACCUUACCAACACUUGACAUGUUCGUCGCGACUUUAAGAGAUUAAAGUUUUCGGUUCGGCCGGACGAAACACAGGUGCUGCAUGGCUGUCGUCAGCUCGUGUCGUGAGAUGUUGGGUUAAGUCCCGCAACGAGCGCAACCCUCACUUUUAGUUGCCAUCAUUUAGUUGGGCACUCUGAAAGAACUGCCAGUGAUAAGCUGGAGGAAGGUGGGGAUGACGUCAAGUCCUCAUGGCCCUUAUGUGUUGGGCUACACACGUGCUACAAUGGCAUUUACAAUAGGAAGCAAAAUGGCGACAUUGAGCAAAUCCUAAAAAGAUGCCUCAGUUCGGAUUGUACUCUGCAACUCGAGUACAUGAAGCUGGAAUUACUAGUAAUCGCGGAUCAGCGCGCCGCGGUGAAUACGUUCCCGGGUCUUGUACACACCGCCCGUCACACCAUGGGAGUUGGUUCUACCUUAAGGCAAAGUUUAAAACCUUUGACUACGGUAUAGUCAGCGACUGGGGUGAAGUCGUAACAAGGUAGCCGUAGGGGAACCUGCGGCUGGAUUACCUCCUUUCUAAGGAUGAUUAAGGAUUUUUUCUUAAUCUAAAAAAUAUAACAGGCUAAUGUUGACCGUCCUCAUUUCUCUUCUUUAGAUAGUGUUUCUCUUUUCUGCAUAAGGGCCGGUAGCUCAGUUGGUUAGAGCACACCCUUGAUAAGGGUGGGGUCGAAAGUUCGAGUCUUUCUCGGCCCACCAUAUUAUACGGGGGAUUAGCUCAGCUGGGAGAGCGCCUGAUUUGCAUUCAGGAGGUCAGCGGUUCGAUCCCGCUAUCCUCCACCAAGAAACACUUAGUUAUUUUACUUGUGAAUACUUUUAUAAUAUUAUCAAUAUCUAUAUCCGAUUGUUCGAAUAGAUGAACAAUCAAGAAUGUUCGAAUAGAUGAACAUUCCAACAAAAUUUGAUUCUACACAGAAUUUUUUUCUG